UACAGAGGGUGCGAGCGUUGUCCGGAAUCACUGGGCGUAAAGGGCGCGUAGGCGGCUCGGUCAGCGUGCGGUGAAAGCCCGGGGCUCAACCCCGGGUCGGCCGUGCGAACUGCUGGGCUGGAGCACUGUAGAGGCAGGUGGAAUUCCGGGUGUAGCGGUGGAAUGCGUAGAUAUCUGGAGGAACACCGGUGGCGAAGGCGGCAUCCUGGACCGAGAUUGACGCUGAGGCGCGAAAGCCAGGGGAGCAAACGGG
rnacentral:rRNA from 1 species